rnacentral:rRNA from 1 species
UACGUAGGGGGCAAGCGUUGUCCGGAUUUAUUGGGCGUAAAGAGCGUGUAGGCGGCCUGAAAGGUCAGCUGUGAAAACUCGAGGCUCAACCUCGAGACGUCGGUUGAAACCAUCUGGCUAGAGUCCGGAAGAGGAGUGUGGAAUUCCCGGUGUAGCGGUGAAAUGCGCAGAUAUCGGGAAGAACACCCGUGGCGAAGGCGGUUCUCUGGGCAUGUCCUGACGCUGAGGAGCGAAAGUGUGGGGAGCGAACAGG